UGUUCCCCAGGUGUGUACAAAGCUAUUUCUAAAUAUAAUAAAACAGUUUAUUAAUCUGUGUGCAUGAUUUAUAAAACUGAGGAAACAGUUUAAUAAUCUGUGAGUACAGUUUAUAAACUGAGGGUACGAAUUACAAAACCGUGUUUGUGAUUUGCGGGUCUUGUUAUCUUUUCUUCAAGAGGUGACCUGCUGGGAUCCGUAGAUUUCUUUGCACCUACAGUACAGAUUACUUCAUUAAACUGAAUACUGCUUUUGGAUCGGCUUGUCUGCCCUGCGUUACAUAUACACUGCAAAAUGCUGGGAUGUUUCAACUCAUGGUUGGGUAAAAUAUGUUAUCUUAUUCAGCUUCAGUGGAGAAAGAAGUGAGGACGAGCUUUACUGAGAGAUGAAUUAACGAAUGAACUGUUCCACAGCUGAGGAAAGGUCCUCAGGGUCCAGGGAGAGAUGUGAAGCCACUUUAAAGCCCAGAGGAAACCUUCAGACAGCCUUCAGUCAAACACACACGCAUGCACACAAAUUUUUUAUACCAUACAAACUGUAUAUUUUAUACCCUUCCCCUAACCCCAACCAUCACAGAAACCCUUCUCCUACUUCACAUGUUCAAGAAACAUCAUUCUGUUUGAUUUAUAAGCUUGUUUCCUCAUGGGGGACAUCAAAAUGUCCCCACAAGGUGAGAAAAAUACUGGUAUUCCUAUCUUUGUGAGGACAAUUGGAAGUGAAGUAUUGUCCGACCCGGAUUAGAUUUUUAUGACAUCAGUGACAGAUCUGGAUUGUGUGAGUCAGACACAGCGUUCACACGAGCUGUAGGUUAGGAAAUAAACAGAUGUGUAAUAAUGAUAAUAAAACUCCAGUGGAUGCUGGGCUGCUACUUUUGGGAUUUGCUUUUCAGUUAUUAGUCAGCCGUACACAUGAGUUCCUAAGAUGAACUUUUAUGAUCUCUCAAUCACAUUUGCAAGAAUGUCAGAUAUUUUUCCAAAUUAUUCUUUAAACUAACAGUGUUGUCCUCAGUUACUGAGUUCCUUUUCAGCAUUAGUCAACUGAAAAAGGGCUGAUUAUCAUAAGCCCAACACUCUGACACGGCAUUCACACGGGGCGUCAGCGUUAACGCUUAACGGAAGGCUUGUCUGAAGCGUGGCCAACAGCCAAUCACUGUGGCCGCAACACAAGCUCCGGUCUUCCAUAAACGUAAUUGGCUGGCUCUGCCUAAGUUAUUUGCAUAAGGCGAUAUGAUUGGCUGACGCACGCUUUGCAGCUUGAAAAGUUGAGAAAUGUGCCGACGGAUCCACAAUUCAGUUCGCCAACGCUUGACGUCACGUCACCCAUUAAAAGUGAAUGGGAAGCGUCAACGCUUACGCCCCGUGUGAAUGCGCCGUUACGGUCCACCAGAUGAUAUUUGCUAAACUCUUUCUUGUUCAGUGGCUUUAAGAAGAGCUUUCACAGAGAUGAAGGAAAACGCUGAUAAUUGUCCCAGGCGUCCUGAUGAGCUCACAUCGGCCACAGAUUAUUUCCCCGUGAGGCUCUCUGAGGGACGAAGGCUCCGGCGGCGGCUCGUAUAAUCAGGUCUGACGCGGAGGCCGCGCACCCGUCAGAAUCGACGGGUCAACGACAGGGAGAAAAUGGCUUCCAGAGCCACGACAGAAGAUCUCUCACAUGUUGAGCGCAUUCAAGGGGUCAGGUGAAAUUGGAAAGACUGAGAUUAAGCGGAGAUGAUGAGGGGUUGAAGGUCUGGCCUAAACAAACACAGGCGCCCGGACACGUGUGGAGACUCAAGAGCUUUUAGCUGUGGAAUCAAAUAACUCUCUGGCUGUUUUCUGAAUGAAGAUGUUGACCGGCGGUCGAGAGGAAACCUAAAGUUUCCAUACCCAGUUUAAUGUCAUGCAAAUUAUUACUUCAGUAGAAAAUUACUCCAAUUCC